rnacentral:lncRNA from 1 species
UCUCACCCUCAAUCUCAUCCUUCUUAGAGGGAUGUGUUUUAAUAAAUACACUCAACCGAUUCGUGUCUUCAUCUUGUGCUUGCAUCUAGAAAAAUAGUAAGAUAUUUAAUUAGAAAAAAAUAAAAGUUAUAUUCAAACUUUUCAAUUGUAACAUAAUUUUCUCGCAGCAUCUCUAAUAAGAUUAAAAGAUGUUCCUCCUAUCCUAUGGUGUCCUCCACUCAUGCUUCGAUUAUCCUUAUUUUUCUUUGCUUGUGCC